UACAGAGGGUGCGAGCGUUGUUCGGAAUUAUUGGGCGUAAAGAGCGUGUAGGCGGCCAGGUAGGUCUGCUGUGAAAACUCGAGGCUCAACCUCGAGCUGUCGGCGGAAACCAUCUGGCUAGAGUCCGGAAGAGGAGAGUGGAAUUCCUGGUGUAGCGGUGAAAUGCGCAGAUAUCAGGAAGAACACCCGUGGCGAAGGCGGCUCUCUGGGACGGUACUGACGCUGAGGUGCGAAAGCGUGGGAGCAAACAGG
rnacentral:rRNA from 1 species